GGAAUUUGGUUCGCUCUACACCCUUUGUGAACAUACCUAUAACUGUUGCUUCGGCGGGCAGGGUCUCCGUGACCCUCCCGGCCUCCCGCCCCCGGGCGGGUCGGCGCCCGCCGGAGGAUAACCAAACUCUGAUUUAACGACGUUUCUUCUGAGUGGUACAAGCAAAUAAUCAAAACUUUUAACAACGGAUCUCUUGGUUCUGGCAUCGAUGAAGAACGCAGCGAAAUGCGAUAAGUAAUGUGAAUUGCAGAAUUCAGUGAAUCAUCGAAUCUUUGAACGCACAUUGCGCCCGCCAGCAUUCUGGCGGGCAUGCCUGUUCGAGCGUCAUUUCAACCCUCAAGCUCUGCUUGGUGUUGGGGCCCUACAGCUGAUGUAGGCCCUCAAAGGUAGUGGCGGACCCUCCCGGAGCCUCCUUUGCGUAGUAACUUUACGUCUCGCACUGGGAUCCGGAGGGACUCUUGCCGUAAAACCCCCAAUUUUCCAAAGGUUGACCUCGGAUCAGGUAGGAAUACCCGCUGAACUUAAGCAUAUCAAAAGCCCGGAGGAAA
rnacentral:rRNA from 1 species